UUCCCCAUCGACCCUUUACCCAUCUUCUUCCCAAAACUCAAAAGAACUCAUCCAAACACAUGCACCCACUGAUACAUACAUACAUACACGUACACACGCCCAAAGAUAAACGCAGCAUACAACACCAACAACCCUUUCCUUACAAAAUCCCCCAAAAUCUGCCGGAUUUCAAGGUCAUCCAUCUCUCUCAAGUAAAUAUGGGGCAGGUAAGCCCAUCCAUUAUCAGGCUUUUCCUACUUUUCUUAAUCUCUGGAAUUUUGAAUUCAAACAAGAUCUUAAAGAAUAUUUUUCCCUCUCUCAAACGACUCUUUUAAAAUUCAAGCACUAUUUUUGGCUAUAAAUUGUUCACUUGUUUCCAUUGAAAAAAAAAAGAGUUGAUUGGGAGAGAACUUGGGAAGUAUUGAAUUUUUCUAUAUUCUUUCAUUCACUAAUUUCUCUGUUCUUCUUCCCUCUGAUUAACGAGACAAUCACUCUGCUCUUAUUUUUUUUUAUUACUUACACUCGAAAUUGGUGUGGAAAUUGAUCUUCUCAACUCGCCGUCUCAAGUUCGCUGCUCACAAGGAGCUUGACUUUCGUUCCCAGCGUUAUUUCCUUUCUGAGUCAACCCUCUCUGAUCAAAAGAAGCAGGUUGGAGGGAAAGCUUAAGUUUAAGCCCUCAGCAUUUCACAACCAUAAAAAUUGGGCUUACUGCCCCCAUAUCAGUCCAGUGCGACAUUCAGGAAAGAGCAAGAAAUAGGCUUGAAACCCAAUCUGAUUUUGCAACUGUUACAAAGACCAGUCCGAAUUAGACUCAAUCUGAGCAACAAGUUUCAAAAUUGUUACUUUAUGUUGCUUUCUAUUUAGAUUAUAAAUAUGAUUACUAACAUUUAACCUUAACUUAGAUGAAUCUUUGAGAGAUUUUUUGA